rnacentral:rRNA from 1 species
CCUACGGGUGGCAGCAGUGGGGGAUAUUGCACAAUGGGGGAAACCCUGAUGCAGCGACGCCGCGUGGGUGCAGAAGUAUUUCGGUAUGUAAAGCCCUAUCAGCAGGGAAGAAAGAAGACGGUACCUGACUAAGAAGCCCCGGCUAACUACGUGCCAGCAGCCGCGGUAAUACGUAGGGGGGGAGCGUUAUCCGGAUUCACUGGGUGUAAAGGGAGCGUAGACGGCCGUGCAAGCCAGGAGUGAAAGCCCGGGGCCCAACACCGGGACUACUCUUGGAACUGUGCGGCUGGAGUGCGGGAGGGGCAGGCGGAAUUCCUGGUGUAGCGGUGAAAUGCGUAGAUAUCAGGAGGAACACCGGCGGCGAAGGCGGCCUGCUGGACCGCGACUGACGUUGAGGCUCGAAAGCGUGGGGAGCGAACAGGAUUAGAUACCCCAGUAGUC